rnacentral:rRNA from 1 species
UACGUAGGGGGCGAGCGUUAUCCGGAUUCACUGGGUGUAAAGGGAGCGUAGACGGCCAUGCAAGCCAGGGGUGAAAGCCCGGGGCCCAACCCCGGGACUGCUCUUGGAACUGCGUGGCUGGAGUGCGGGAGGGGCAGGCGGAAUUCCUGGUGUAGCGGUGAAAUGCGUAGAUAUCAGGAGGAACACCGGUGGCGAAGGCGGCCUGCUGGACUGCAACUGACGUUGAGGCCCGAAAGCGUGGGGAGCAAACAGG